rnacentral:rRNA from 1 species
CCUACGGGAGGCAGCAGUGGGGAAUAUUGGGCAAUGGAGGCAACCCUGACCCAGCAACGCAGCGUGAAGGAUGAAGGUCUUCGGAUUGUAAAGUUCUUUUCUAAGGGAAGAAGAAAGUGACGGUACUUUAGGAAUAAGCCUCCGCUAACUACGAGCCAGCAGCCGCGGUAAUACGUAGGAGGCAAGCGUUAUCCGGAAUGAAUGGGCGUAAAGGGUGCGUAGGUGGGUUGUCAAGUUAGUUGCGCAACUCCGGGGCUCAACUUAGGAACUACAACUGACACUGGUGGACUUGAGUGCAGGAGAGGUAAGCGGAAUUCGUGGUGUAGCGGUGAAAUGCGUAGAUAUUAGGAGGAACACCGAUGGCGAAGGCAGAUUGCUAGACUGUAACUGACACUGAGGCACGAAAGCGUGGGGAGCAAACAGGAUUAGAUACCCCAGUAGUC